rnacentral:lncRNA from 1 species
AACAUUAUCCCAGAAAACUAUGAAUUGCUUAAUCACAUUGGGGAGGAAUUGAACCUUGCAUUUGCUUUGCAUGAAAUGACCAGUUUUGAGACAGAUGGUAUUCUUGACUGGUUUGAGUCUAAUAUGAGCUGAUCAAUGAAUCUUGUGGCUCAAUGAAUCUUGUGGCUGAUCAAUGAAUCUUGUGGCUCAAUGAAUCUUGUGGCUGAUCAAUGAAUCUUGUGGCUCAUUCUUUUAUGAGCUGAUCAAUGAUAUAUGAGCUCUUAUUUACAGACAGAAAACUAUAAUAUGAGCUGAUCAAUGAAUCUUGUGGCUCAUUCUUUUUAAAGAAACGUUCA